CUGUUUCAUAGUUAAUUUUCCCCUCUAUUCCUUUCUUGCUGUCUUCUUCUGUGCUUUGUGUAUUUUUGCAGUGACUUUCUUUGACUCAUGAUGUAUGUAAGGCUCUUCUUGGGAGCAAAGGAAUUUGCAUUUCAUGGAAAGAAUUUCAACUCCGCUGGAAUAUAAGGUGCGCAAAAUCAUCACAGGCAACUGCUUCCUUGGCCCAGUGCCUAACCCUAUACGUAUCGCCCCUUGCAGUAGCAGUUCAGCAGCUGGAUAGUCACCUGAACACUGUAUGUUACUGGUUAGCCAAGUAACAGACAAACACAAGGCAGGCAGGUCAUCAUAUUAUGAGGCCUCUUUUAUCUUAAUAUAGGAGUACUCUAUUUUUUCAAACAGCAGUAAACUCUAUUUAUAUUGAAGUAUAGUCGAUUUACAAUAUUCUCUUCGUAUCAGGUGUACAACACAGCAAUUCAAGAUUUUUAUGGAUUAUACAAAACAGUGGCUUUAACCCCGUGUUGUACAGUGUAUCCUUGUUGCUUAUCUAUUUUAUACAUAGUCGUUGCACCUCUUGAUCUCCUACCUCUGUCUGGCCCUCUCCAUUCCCACUGGUAACCACUAGUUUGUUCUCUGUAUUUGUUUUGUUACAUACAUUCCUUUAUUUUUUAGAUUCCACAUAUGAGUGAUAACAUAGAACGUUUUUCUUUCUCUGACUUACUUCACUAAGUAUGCUGCUCCCGAGGUCCAUCCACUCGGGUGCAAAUGGCAGAAUGUCAUUCUUUUUUAUGACUAAUAUUCCAUUGUAGUCUACUAUUCAUUCAUCAGUCGACAGACAUUUAGGUUGUUUCCAUAUCUUGUCUAUUGGAAAUAAUGCUGCUGUGAACACUGAGAUGCAUAUAUCUUUUCAAAGUAGUGUUUGGUCUUCUGUGGACAUAUGCAGGCGUAAAAUUGCUGAAUCAUAUGAUAGUGCUUUUUUUAGGGUUUUUGAGAUCCCUCCAUACUGUUUCCACAACAUUCGCAAGUAUUUUCUAUUCAGUAAGUAGGCUGUCUUUUUGUUUUAUGGAUAGUUUCCUUUGCUGUGCAAGAGCUUUUAAGUUUAAUGAGGUCCCAUUUAUUUUUGCCUUUACUUCUUUUGCCUUUGGAAACAGAUCCAAACAAUUACUGCUACGAUUUAUGUUAAAGGGUGUUCUGCCUAUGUUCUCUGCUAGGAGUUUUAUGAUUUCAGGUCUUUUUAGGUCUUUAAUCCGAUUUGAGUUUAUUUUGUAUAUAGCAUGAGGGAAUGUUCUAAUCUCAUUCUUUUACAUGUAGCUGUAGCUGUCUAGUUUUCCCAGCACUUUUUAUUGAAGAGACAGUCUUUAUUCCAUAUUCUUGUUUCCUUUGUCAUAGAUUGUCCAUGUGUGUUCGUCUACUUCUGGGCUCUCUAUUCUGUUCCAUUGAUCUAUGUGUCUGUUUUUGUGCAUGCUAUUUUAAUUCCUGUAGUUUUAUAGUAGUUUGAAAUCAAGAAGCAUGAUACCUCCAGCUUUGUAGUAUCCCCAGUGGCUUUGGUGGGAGAGCUGGAUUUGACAUGAACACAAGUCACAUCUUUCUCUAGGGUGUGCCGGCAGCUAUCACCUUAAUAGCAGGUGGGACUGGAGGAGGAGGAGCUAGUGCUGAAGCCAAGUGUAAGCUGGGGCUCUCCCUCUGUUCAGCAGCCAUCAACACUGUACUUGGGGCAGCGCCAGGUCCCAAGUUGCUAGGGCAGGAGCCCUGAGGGUCAAGUCCAAGCUGGCUCUAUUCCCCUUAAAUGUGAACUCUCCCCCUUCCAGCGCUGGCACUCUUGCCGCAGAGCAGAGCAGAACUGGAGCAAGAGGGGCCCAUGCAGGCUCUCUACGUGUGACAGGCUCAAACUGUGAUAGCCCAGCUAUAGACAGAGGUCAGGGCUAUUUCGGAUGUGCAAGCAUUACUGUACAAGCACCAGUAAUGGUUAGCCCUGCUCUGCUUGACACCAUCUCAGGUCUGAGUCUCCUUCGUCCCUUAUAAUUGAUGCUUCCCCUCGGUCUCUGCCACCCCACCCUAAUGCGGGGCUGCCCUGCAGAGCAGGCAGGGCCAUGUGUGCCCUGGGUGUGUGUCAGGGCACGAGCUGUGGCUGGCCAGAUGCUGACAGAUUUCAGGGCUGCUUCUGAUAUGCUGCCUGUGCAAGGGUCCCACUCAGAUGCUGCCUCCAGUCUGAGCUGCCUCUGUGUCUCAAGGCUGAGCUCUUUCCUUGGUUAUAGCAGCCCUUGCUCUAGUGUGGAGCUGCGAUGUGAAGUGGGGCCGGAGCAUUUGCUCACUCAAGCUGGGUGCCCGCCAGGGCAGUUGUGGGAAACGAGUCAGCCACUUGCACUGUUUCAGUCACUCUCUCCACUCGGUUUGGGGAGUAAGCAAGAACACAUGGUCCUUCCAAGCAGAGUCCAGGCUUCCCACAAUCCUGAUAGUCCCAUCAGCCCUCCAACCAGCCAGGGAGCUCUAGGUGCCCAAUAUGUGCCUCCAUCUGCUCACCCCCUGGGGAGAAUCUCUGUCUCUGUAUUCUCCCCCUUUCCCCUGAGUGUCCUCCCAGGGGCACAGGUCCUGAUCUGAUCCCUUCUCUUUCCUUCCAAUCCAAUUCCCCAUGGGUCUUUCUUUCAGACUUGGUUGUACAGGGGCCUCUCUGCCAGUUUCCAGUUAGUUUUUGGUGAGAAUUGUUCCAUACGUAGAUGAGUUUUUGAUGUGUUUGUGGGAGGAAGUCAGCUCCACUGUCCCACCCAAGCAUCUUGAUCGACUCAUGAGCAGUGAACUUUUAACCUAAUAUUGACAAAAUCCAACACAGGGGGCUUCCACAUUGUCACUGAGCUUCCCCUGGCGCUUGAAGUGUUCUGCAGGAUCCUCAUCCCCAUUCUUGUUCCUUGGUCUUUGUCAGUAAGAUGGGAUACACAGCUCCCGAUUCAGCUGAAGUUGCUGGACUUCCUCGUUAUUGUUCCGGUUCCCCCUCGUCUCCUGCUUGUGUAAAAGCAGAACCAGCCCAAAGCUGCAUAGAUGAGAACUCUUUUGAAAAAGCGAUUUCAUUAUAGAAAUACAAAUUCUUUCAACUGAGGAACCAUUUAUUUCUUCCUGAGAACCAUGGUACAACUAAGAUUUUUCUCUCAUAUUUUCAUUUUUUUCUCUCUUGGCUACAGGUGUAGGCCAACUAGCUGAUCACCACAGUGUCGUCAGGUAUUUUUUAUGUCUUAUAUUCAAACAGAGGUAAGCCGAACUGCAUUGUUUUUAGUGGCCCUCCAUGUAUUGUUCCUUUCUUGCAAUCAUUCAACAAACAUUGUACAUCUACUGUGUGCUCUAGAUGCAAACAUGUCCUAGACCAGUAGAAAAAGACACAUAAAAAAGCCAUCAACGCUUCCACUUAUCAAGUGCUGUAAUAAAGAUAGCACAGAUUGUGACGCUGCGAAUACAGAAAAGGUAAAGAAAUACACCUGUCCUAGAAGAGCCUACACAGAGCAUAACAGAGUGAAAACGAGGAAAUCCAUAGAUAUUAUAUCACAGCUGUUUGACCCUCCAUCAAUAGGCAAGGUAAGCUCCUGACAUUCAGGAUGAAGUAUCUUGCUAACUCAUGCUUAGUGCUUUUCUGGAGCUGAUCUAUAGACAUACAGCAAAAUGUACUUUCUUGAAUAUAUUAAAACACAACUUUUUUUCUUGUAGUUUGGUAAAGAAAUUAAGGGCUUCUUAAUAUUCCUAACCUUUAGAGAAAAAAGUAGGUUGGCAGUAUCUAAGCUCUAGCUGUCUGGGUUGGGCUAUUUCCCUCCUACUUUUACAAAUCCUAAUAAGUGAUUUUCUAAGGCUUAUGCUAUCUAGGUCAGCUAGACAGAAUAUCAACUAAUCUCAAUUAGCUUCCCUCUCUCUAAGAACUAAUUAGGACUUGCUUCUUGCCCUUAUAGCAUUUCUAUCAUCUAUUAUAGUACUUCUCUCACUGUAAUAGGUAAAUGUCAGCCCCCCCCCCGCCAAAAAAACCCCACUUAGGUCAGAUUUUUGUUUAUUUCUGGAUGUCACUCAGUGCCUUGCUGAUGGCUUGAAAGAGAGUAGACUUCCAGUAACAUUUGUUAAAUGGAUGAAAUGUCACAAGUUCUUGUUGCCUAAGGAACAUUACACAAUUAAAGUAUAUUAUUCAGAGAUAAAUAAUACUUUCAUAACUCAAUAACAAAAACGGUGAGUUUUCUCUCACUUCAUUUUGUACCUAAUUUUCUAGCUAGUUAGAAAAUCUGGGACUGGGAGGAGAAUAUCUUUUUAAUUUCUAAAAGGUGGCCCUCAAAUUCAUUUGUCACCACUAGGGCCUCACUAAUAAGCAAAAAGCACAAUGGCCUGGGAUCCAGUCAUCUCAGGGCACAGGCAAGUCAGGACAAGAACAACAGAGAACUUUUGUUUGUUUUGAUCUGACUUUAUUAUUUUGAUCGGACUUCAAAAAUGCAUUUUCUAUUCUUGAGUUCUCAUAAGUUCUAGAUCUUUAUUUUUCACUGAUUACUUUUCCUCAAUCCCACCUCCACUCUUAUAAAAGCUGAUCAAUAUUUAGUUUAUUCUACCUGAUUUCCUGGUCUCAAAAGUCCUUCGCGUCUUUCAAUGUCCAGCUCAAAGGCUACCUCCUCCAAGGCUCCUAGGGCCUGCCGUUCCCUUUGUGGUCCUCUUACUGCACUCAUUACAUCCCACCAAAGCACCUGCAUCCUUGCACGCCAUCUCCAGCUAAAGCACUUGGGGUUGCCUGAGCAAUCAUGCUCUCUCCCAUGUUCAUGCUUUUGCAAGUUCUGCUGUAUGAGGCUAGCAUGCCCUAUCCCCACUCUUGCAUUCUCCCAUCACAGAAGUUACCAAACCACUAUAAAUGUUUGUCUCCCUCAGUAGACUCUUCAUGCUUGUGGGAAGAUACAUUUAAAAAUUGUAUACUCUACAUCUAACACUCAGUAAGUAUGUGAUAAAUGGAUGAAUGCAUGCUUGAAUGUGUAACUAGCCUAAUAGCCUAGGUAAGAUAUGAAUUAACAUAACGAUUAUGAAAUGGUUGAGUCACUUUGGAAAAUAGCUUGGCAGUUCUUCAAAAUAUUAAACGUAGAGUUUCCACAUGACCCAACAAUUCCAUUCCUAGGUGUAUCCCCAAGAGAAAUAAGAAAGGAAUGGCCUCACAAAACCCUGUACACAGAUGUCCCUCGUACCAGCACUCUUCAUAAGAUCCCCAAAGUGGAAAAAAUGAAAGUGACCAUCAACUGAAUGGAUAAACAAAAUGUGAUAUAUCCAUACAGUGGAUUAUUUUUUGAUAAUAAAUGAAGUACUGGUAUGUGUUACAACAUGGACGAGCCCUGAAAACAUUAUGCUAAGUGAAAGAAGCCAGACACAAAGGUCAAAUAUUAUACGAUCCCUUGUAUGUUAAAUGUCCUGAAUAGACCCAGAAACAAAAGCAGAUCAGUGGUUGCCAGGAGCCUAGGGGAGAAGGGAAUGAGGACUGAUUGCUAAUGGGAACAGGAUUUCUUUUUGGAGUGAUGAAAUAUUUUAUAAUCAGCUUGUUAUGGUUGCACGACUCUAUGAAUAUACCAAAAACCACUCAUUGCGUACUUAAGGAUGAACCUUAUAGCAUGUGAGUUAUGGCAACAAAGCUGUUAUGAGAAAGUGAGCACAAUAAUGAGCACUUUCUAUUUGGUCCAGAUUUUUAACCAAGGGUUUAAUCUUUGAAAUCACAACACAACUCUGCUGCCUAGAACUUCUUAAUCUUCUACAUUGAUCAAUUAUACAAUUAUAAAACUGCUGGAACAUUAAAACCCCUUCAUUACUUUACAGGUUAGGAAACUGGGCUCCAAGAGAGAUAAGCGACUUAAACAAGGUUAUGUAACCAGGAGUGAAACCAGGGAGGACUCAAUCUCAGUCCAGGGAUUCACCUUUUUUUUU
rnacentral:lncRNA from 1 species